rnacentral:rRNA from 1 species
ACACGUAGGAAGCGAGCGUUAUCCGGAUUUACUGGGCGUAAAGCGCGUGCAGGCGGUUUUACAAGUUGGAUGUGAAAGCUCCCGGCUUAACUGGGAGAGGUCGUUCAAGACUGUGAGACUGGAGUGCGAAAGAGGGAGGUAGAAUUCCGAGUGUAGUGGUGAAAUGCGUAGAUAUUCGGAGGAAUACCAGAGGCGAAGGCGGCCUCCUGGUUCGCAACUGACGCUGAGACGCGAAAGCCAGGGUAGCAAACGGGAUUAGAGACCCCGGUAGUCCUGGCUGUAAACGAUGUAGACUAGGCGUUGGCGAUGUAAAAGUUGUCAGUGUCGGAGCAAACGCGAUAAGUCUACCGCCUGGGGAUUACGGCCGCAAGGCUAAA